rnacentral:rRNA from 1 species
GAUGAACGCUGGCGGCGUGCCUAAUACAUGCAAGUAGAACGCUGACGGAGGAGCUUGCUCUUCUGGAUGAGUUGCGAACGGGUGAGUAACGCGUAGGUAACCUGCCUGGUAGCGGGGGAUAACUAUUGGAAACGAUAGCUAAUACCGCAUGACAACAGUUAUUGCAUGAUAACUGUUUAAAAGGGGCAACUGCUCCACUACCAGAUGGACCUGCGUUGUAUUAGCUAGUUGGUGAGGUAACGGCUCACCAAGGCGACGAUACGUAGCCGACCUGAGAGGGUGAGCGGCCUCGCUGGGCUGGGGACACGGCCCAGCACCCUGCGGGUGGCACACGUCGGGGACCCGUGGGAAUGGAAGGAAGAGGGAACGUUGGACGCCGCGCGAGUGAAUAAGGUUGCCGGGUCGCAAAGGUGUGUUGGAAGUUAGGAACGAGUGUGAGUUUGGAAAGUUCACAUUGUGACGGUAUCUGAACAGAAAGGUACGGCUAACUACGUG